rnacentral:rRNA from 1 species
AUACGGAGGGUGCAAGCGUUACUCGGAAUCACUGGGUUUAAAGGGUCCGCAGGCGGAUUAAUAAGUCAGUGGUGAAAUCCUCUCGCUCAACGAGAGAACUGCCAUUGAAACUGUUAGUCUUGAAUUCGGUCGAAGUAGGCGGAAUGUGUCAUGUAGCGGUGAAAUGCAUAGAUAUGACACAGAACACCGAUAGCGAAGGCAGCUUACUAGACCUGGAUUGACGCUCAUGGACGAAAGCGUGGGGAGCGAACAGGAUUAGAAACCCCAGUAGUCC